rnacentral:rRNA from 1 species
UACGAAGGGGGCUAGCGUUGCUCGGAAUUACUGGGCGUAAAGGGCGCGUAGGCGGCACUGUUAGUCAGGCGUGAAAGUCCUGAGCUCAACCUGGGAACUGCGCUUGAUACGGCAGAGCUAGAGGAUGGAAGAGGGUCGCGGAAUUCCCAGUGUAGAGGUGAAAUUCGUAGAUAUUGGGAAGAACACCGGGUGGGCGAAGGCGGGCGACCUGGUCCAUUACUGAGCUGAGGCGCGACAGCGUGGGGAGCAAACGGG